rnacentral:snRNA from 1 species
AGCUUUGCGCAGUGGCAGUAUCGGAGCCAAUGAGGUUUAUCCGAGGCGCGAUUAUUGCUAAUUAAAAGCAAAAUACUGAAAGAGAUAGCUGCCUCAAUUCCUAUAAGCUAUUCAACU